rnacentral:sRNA from 1 species
CUGGUCUCGAACUCCCGACCUCAGGUGAUCUGACUGCCUCAGUCUCCCAAAGUGCUGGGAUUACAGAUUUUAAAAUGGAAAUUAUCAAGGAAACAAAGACAGUUUCACGCUCAAAUAGGAAAAUGUCCUUGCUCAACAGAACUCUUGUAAGGAAGCCAUCAAUGAGACCCAGAAACUUGACAGAAGUCCUCUUAAAUACACAGCACUUGGAGUUCUUCGGGGAGUUCCUCAAGGAACGGAAGGCUAAAAGCCCAUUGCAAUUUCUCACAGCUGUACAGAAGAUCAGUAUAGAGACCAAUGAAAAGAUUUGCAAGUCUCUCAUAGAAAAUGUAAUCAAGACUUUCUUCCAAGGCCAACUCUCUCCUGAAGAAAUGCUGCAGUGUGAUGCCCCUAUUAUCAAAGAAAUCGCUUCCAUGCGUCAUGUCACCACAAGCACACUGUUAACGCUCCAGGGACAUGUUAUGAAAUCUAUAGAAGAAAAGUGAAGAAAGGCUGGAUGAGAAUGAUCAGCUUUAUCAGGAGUUUUUGCAAGUACCGCAGAUUUAUGUUGAAUCCUAGUAAGCGCCAGGAAUUUGAAGACUAUCUUCACCAGGAAAUGCAAAAUAGCAAGGAAAAUUUCACCACAGCACACAACACAUCGGGACGUUCAGCUCCACCCUCCACAAAUGUCCGGAGUGCAGACCAAGAGAAUGGAGAAAUAACCCUUGUAAAGCGUCGUAUAUUUGGCCACAGGAUUAUCACUGUCAACUUUGCGAUCAAUGAUCUAUAUUUCUUUUCUGAAAUGGAGAA